GCAUUGCCUUUAUGCUUCAAGGACUUGGAGAGCAUAUUUGGCAGAGAGGCGGUAGAAGGAAUGAAUGCAUUAGGGGGAGGUGGCAUAACUUUGAGUAGGCAUGGCCUCCAAGACACUCAAAGCCCUUCUCAUGAUACUAACCAAGGAGGUAUCGAUGCGCCACUAGAUCAUACCCCUGGCACAUCUGUGCCAAUGGCAGACUUGGGGGUUGAGAAGGGCUCCAGCUCUUACUCAUCUGACGGCGCAUUGUCCUCUGAGUCAAAGAGGGGGCACUCUCAGAGUCCAACAGGAGCUCAAUGAAGGAAAAAACAACCCACAACAAUUGAUACAAUGGUCGACAUUAUGGCCACGAUGGCAUGUACCGUGAAGGACUGGGCAACCGCUACUAUUAGCAGGAUGAACAAUCAUCCUGCAGCUGUUGUUGCUCAGGCAAGGAAGGAUAGAGAGCAAUGCACAUGGAUUGUCGAAGCCUUGUGGAAAAAGGGAGAAAUAGGUAUUCAUGUCCUCAUAUCUUCGUCAAGGCAUCUCGGAUAUUUCAAGACUCCUCAAGUAUGGAGCUAUUUUUUACCUUGGAGAACCUAGAGGGUGUAGUGGCCUAGUUGGAGGAUACGGUGCAGCGCAUGCAAUAGUUUUAGUUUCCUCCUUUAAGAUGUUGAUGAACUUCAAAAUACUUUGUUUUUGCGAACAAAAAUUAAUUUUGGUGUCUACUUUUGGAAGGAUCUUCAUAUGAAGAUAUGAAUGCUUGUUUUCUGUGUGCCUGGCAGUUUGAAUAGAUCUUUCAUGGAUCAGUUCAACUUUAUUUUUAUUCUUUAUAGAUGGGUCAGGAUAAUGGCUGUCAUUAUGGUUAAGGCAAGUAUGAAAUUUUGUUUUAUGGAUGGUAGUUUAAAUGGAUUUAUCUUUUGUAUAUGAGUUCAAUUUCUGUUUACUAAUUUAUGGAUAGGUCAGGAUAAUGCUUGUCCUUAUGUCAUUAUGGUUAUUUCAGACUAUGGAAUUUUUCUUUAUGGAUGGUAGUUUAAAUGGAUUGAUCUUUUGUGGAUAAGUUCAAUUUUAGUUUAUUGAUUUAUGGAUGGGUCAGGAUAAUGUUUGUCCUUAUGUCAUUAUGGUUAUUUCAAAAUAUGGAAUUUUGUUUUUUGGAUGGUAGUUUAAAUAGACUGAUCAUUUGUGGUUCUGUUCAAUUUUAGUACAUUACGUUAACUUGUUUGUUUUCCUUUUGGGUGAUCCUGAUAUGAACGACAAUUAUCACUCACGACUCUAUGGACCCCCAAGACGAGGAGUUCAUGUUCAUAUUUUCUAUCCUGUAUGUGGCAUUUUGCUUAACAUAUUGGCACAACUAGUCAAGUGAGAAGGCAGCGUGUACUUACCUCAGUCCUAACUGGGCCCAAGUAUGUCGAGUACUUACAAACGGGGCAUCCUUGUCAUUCCUUCGAUAUGUUGCGAAUGGAGAAGGGCAUCUUUCUCGAUCUGUGUAAUCUACUAAAGGACAGGUCACUUAUUAUAGAUACUAGACACUUGAUAGUGGAGGAGCAAAUUGCCAUAUUCUUAAGUACCCUGACACAUGAUCAAUGAAAUAGGGUUGUUCAAGAACCCUUUCAACAUUCUGGCCAAACCAUUAGUUUCUACUUUAACAAAGAAUUGAUUGUGAUAUUACAAUUAUGACCCCUGUUCCUUCAACUUCCUGGCAAUGAAACACCUAAGCACAUUGAGGAUGACAAGGAGAGGUUUUUCCUAAAUUUCCAGGUGAGAUACCGUCUUCUCCUUUUUAAGGUGGUUCAAUCAAUAGUAAAACUAUUAAUAAUGGUAUAGGUACUUUGACUUUUAAUAGGAAUGCAUGGUAGCGACUGACGGGACAUAUAUCCCUGCACGAGUUAAGAGUGAAAUGCAUCAACGCUACAGAAAUAUGAAAGGAUUCUUAAGCCAAAAUGUUAUGGCUGCAGUUGGGUUUGACAUGUAGUUCCAAUAUUGCCUUGCUGGAUGGGAGGGCUCCACAUUAGACUCUUGAGUCCUACUUGACGGGAUCGGAAGGGAACAUAAUCGUUUGGUGGUUCCUGAAAGUUAGGCGACAUGUUUAUUUUGCAAUGUCAUGCUAUAAUGCGUAACUCUAUUUUUUCAUUUCGAUAUGUUCCAAGAAAAUAUUACCUCGUAGAUGGAGGCUACCCUGUAUUGCAGAUUCCAUUAUCAUUUGAGUUACUUUGCAACAGGUUUCCAAGGUCCUCAAGAUGAGAAGGGGUUAUUCAACUGAAGGCACUCAACUCUUAGGAAUGUGGUCGAAAUGACAUUCGGGUUGUGGAAGGUGCGAUUUCUGAUUCUAGGGAACCAAAUGCAGUAACUUCUAAGAACUCAAAUCAAGAUUGUUAUUGCAACUGCGAUUUUGCAUAACUACAUCAUGAUAUCACGAGGAGCAAAUAGCAGGAGGGAGUUGCGAUUUCGGAGGAGAGUUGAAAGACAAAUGCCUGGAGGGGGAGGGGGGGCGAGGGGGAGAAGACAAUUACACCAACUGAACUCAUGGACAAGACGUUCAUGAUGAUGGCGUGGAACUCCGAGAUGCAAUUGCAUCUCAAUUGUGGCAUGCAUAUGUUAAUUGAUGGGGGUGAUUUGUUUUUUUAGACAUGUAAAAUUGUGUUACGAACUUCACCUAUUUCUUUGUCUUGGUUAGAUAUGUGCCAAAUAUUUAUGUAACUGUAACUUGUCUAGUGCGAUUAUAUAGAGAACAUAUUCUAGCUAUUGGCUUUUGAUCCACAUCUCCUUGAUGGAGAAAAAGCUUGUCCUUCAUUGUUCACAUGAUUCAUCAAAAAUGCAAGACUUCAUUGUUAUUAACUUUUUAUAUCGCAUGCUGAUGAGUCUACCAUUUAUAUUGGUUGUCAUUAUGUCCUUAUGCUCAAUCUUUUUACACUACUGAGAAAUAUGCACACUUAUAUUUGUAAACUGCAUGCCAUGGGAUGGGAUCUUAACCCUAUGGGAUAUGUGGAUUAAGUUUGUGUAAGUAUCAUGCGUGUUUUCUUUGACUUACACGUUGCACCUUUUGGUUAGUGUAUAUACAGGUGAUUGUCAUAUAGGAGGACUCCUGUACAACUCAUAUGAGUGUUGAGGAAUGAAAUUACGUCUGCUUGUGCAGUUGGUAUCCACUUGUUGCCCUUCCAGACUACUAGGUGUAGAUUGGAUCGGCAAAACUUUAGUCACAAGCUUAAUUUCAAGCAUAUGACUCGCAACUAGUUUGAUGUAUUGAUUUCAAUAGACUAGCUAUAUCAUGCAAUUCAAGUUUAAGCUUCUUUCAAAUAGUUUGAUGUAUUGAUUUCAAUAGGCUAUAUCAUGCAAUUCAAGUUUUUGCAGUUUCAUAAUUUGAUAUACCUCUAAGUUUUGUAUGUCAUUACUGUCCAUUCAUCUAUCUAUGAAUAGCUCGCAAAAAUUAUUAUAUGGUCUUAAGGGAAGGCAGCCAGGGGUUUACGAUUCCUGGACAAAGUGCGAGCAAUACCUUAUGUAUUUCAAUACGUAAGGUAUUUCAACAAUGCGUGACAACGAACGUGGCUUGAUUUGGGGUUCGAACGACCGUUUUUCAAAUUUGGUAUUUUGGCCGAAGUUUUGUUUCCGGUGUCCGGAAAUUGCAGCAAAUUCGACUCCAUUGUGCGGUGAAACUGACCGUCCAUCACGUGCGAGGUUUGAUUCAGAUGAAGCCUCUGACCUCGUGCUCGUAAUGGGCCUAGUUUGAGGUCGAUCCGAUACGCGGGCGUCAUGAUGUGGCUGCUUGAUCAAGGCACGUUUUGGAUCAGGGCUUGUUGUCCUACGGCUUCUGUAGUCCACAGGCUCUUCGUCAGCAUUGCCUUAAACUUGUCAGAUCGCGACGAAAAUAUGCAGGUAUGGAUGACGAAGUUAUGGAGGUUGAGAGUGUAACCUCAAAGACGAAAGAAAUACAUCGGACUCGUAGGAUGGAAAUGACAUUGCUAGAUGCGCUAAUUGAACAUGUACAGGCAUGCAAUAAGCUAGAGAAGGACUUCAAACCAUCACAAUGAAAUGUUGUAGAGAAAGCCUUCACCAACGCAACAGGCAUGACUUUGAAGAUCGAGAACUUCAAAAACAACCUCAAACGCACAUCCCAAUGCCAAGCAUAUCAAGUGGAACCAUUUCCCUAUUAUGAGGAGUUGGGCAUAAUCAUAAGCAAUUCAACGGCCGAGGAAUAAGUACGAGGACAACAGCAACAGCCGAGCAAGAUGCAAUGCUGGAAGAUGAAGACACCUGGUAUGGAUGUUGAAGACGAGGACAUUCCUGACAUGCCUACACAUUCAAGGGCUAGUGAGAAGGAUAAAUCCCCUGCUUCAACUGCAAGUCGGCCAAGAAAGAGGAAGAUGAGGGCAGUGGCUCAUACCUUACAGUUGAUGGUUGAAGUAGUGGUGGGCCUAAGGUUUGCAUUUACACAAUUCAAAAAUGUUCCUAAUGAAUCGAUGAUGUUUGUGAGGCCAUUUUCUAGCUUGAAGGUGUUGAAGAUGAUGUCACUUCAAAGGCAUGCAUGGGGAUCAACUCAUAUGUGAAUAUGAGUAAGAUCUUCAUCAAGAUGAAUGAUGCGAGAAAGUUGGCCUAGAUCCAGUCCGAGUAUGGAAUUGGACCAAAUGAUUGUAUCGGAUGCCUAUGGCCCUCUCAGAGUCUCUCUCUAAUUUUUUUUUUUUGAAAACUUUACAUAUGUAUUUUGAUUUAUCCCUCUCUCUAUCUCUCUGUCUUUCUUUUGCUCUCUUCCCUCUCUCUUGGGUACCAUCCAAAAAAGGUCGUGGUUGUUCUCUCAACUCAACAUUCUGCAUCUCCAAAUCAGUUUGCCUGUUAUGUGCCCUUUGCUACUCUUUAUCAUUUCUUUGUUUCUUCUUCUUGACUUAGCAUAUAAGCCAAGUAUAGAUGGGUCUACAAAGUGAGCCUCAAGUUAAAAGGGAUUCUUGAGCAGUAUAAAACUAGUAGCGAUCUUAGGUAUGCACAGAAUUGCUGGUUUGAUUUGAAAAGAAGCUCAUGACGCCCUUUGCUUUUCACUGGAAUAGAAGUUGAAAUAUAUUUUCUAGUCUCUAACUAUUAUCCGUCUCCUUUUCUGCAUAUAUCAGUCACCUUUUCUGCAUUCUCCAAUUGUAGUAACUAAUGUCCUUUUCUUGUAGAAAUGUGGGCUUGACAAUAAAUAUAUUUUUUGAAUAUAUUUUUAUCCUAAUUGCAUUUCUUGGUGGGAGAAGAUUUUGUAUUUGUAAAUGUUCAGAAAAUUUUGUGUAUUUUGUCGAUUGCAGUGAUCAAAUAUAUAACAUAUAUCCAACAAAGAAUUGGAUAGAGAGAGUGAUGUAGAUAGAUAGAUAGACAAAUUUGUAUGUCAAAGGCUGACUGAAAUUCUAUUGUAUAGGUUUGGACAUCAAUAUGGGACCAAGCACAAACAAUUUAUGCAAAUGGCAAUGUUACUUUUGUAAAUUGGAUAGUUUUACAUGACAAUUGUAUUUUGAUUGCUAUUCUUCUAGCUGAAACUGAUUAAAAAUGCCUGAUUCCUGGUACACAUAAAACAAUAUAUAUGCUCUAGAAAAGAGUUGCAACAUAUUUUAGCUCAGAUUAGCAGUAGGGUGCCUACUUAAAUGUUUAUGGGUCUCUUCCUAUACACAUUUAUAUAAGGUAUCUUGGUUUACUUAUAUAUGUUGUAUUGCCAACACUUAUCCUAAGGUUUCCUCUUUAUUGUUCCAUUUAUUGUACUACACAAUGCUAAAACCAUUUUGACAGUAACAUUUACAUUGAGAUAGAGGUUGGCAUGAGAAAACAUUUUGCUUCAGUCUUCAAUGAGAAUUCUAUGUGACUUGUAGUGAUAUAUAUCAUUCUUGAAUUAUUCCAAAUUAUCCAUAUGAUUUUGCAUCAUAUUUGAUACCUAAUUAUGACUAGUUACAAAACAUUUCAUGCUCAUGUGGGGCCUUUAAACCCAAAUGCAUGACCUUACAACUUCUACAUAGUCUUACUGUCAACAAAACUUACAUGUUCCUGAAUUGUGUCGAAAUUACACAUGCAUGUGUAUCUAUUCAUACAAAUAAAUUGUGCUAGGCAUGCAUGUAUAUGCUGGCAGAUGUGCAUUUGUUUAAAGGAACCAUUAUUUAUGAGGUGAAUCGGGGUACAACAGAAUGCAUUGAAUUCUUCUUAUCAUUUGUUGUGGUUUUAUUGAUAGAUGAUCUAUAAUAUAUCAUUGUUGAUACCCAUAAAUAGAAUUUGGAUUCUAACGCCUGUUCUUUUACUAUCCCACGUAGAGUGCAAGAAUUUUCUUGAGUACUGCAAUGGGAAAGAGCUCCAACGCCAUUCAAUGCUUUGACCAUUUGAGUAUGCAGAGUGAACAACCAAAAAGGAACUAUUGUAAUACCAAAAUAGGCUUCAUAUUGAAGAGGAGGACAUUCCUGAGACGCCUACACAUUCAAGGGCUAGUGAGAAGGGUAAAUCCCCUGCUUCAACUGCAAGUCGCCCAACAAAGAGGAAGAAGAGGGCAGUGGCUAAAAUCUUACAGUUGAUGGUUGAAGUAGUGGCGGGCCUAGGGUUUGCAUUUGUGCAAUUAAAAAUUUCUCCUAAUGAAUCGAUGACAUUUGUGAGGCCAUUUUCUAGCUUAAUGGUGUUGAAGAUGAUGUCACUUCGAAGGCAUGCAUGGGGAUAAACUCAGAUGUGAAUAUGAGUAAGAUCUUCAUGAAGAUGAAUGAUGCGAGAAAGUUGGCCUAGAUCCAGUCCAAGUAUGGAAGUGGAGCAAAAAGUUGUAUCUGAUGCCUAUGGCCCUCUCAGAAUCUCUCUCGAAUUUCUUUUUUUUUUUGAAAAAUUUACAUAUGUAUUUUGAUUUAUCCCUCUCUCUAUUUCUCUGUCUUUCUUUUGCUCUCUCCCCUCUCCCUUGGGUACCAUCCAAAAAGGUUGUGGUUGCUCUCUCAACUCAACAUUCUGCAUCUCCAAAUCAGUUUACCUGUUAUGUGCCUUGUGCUACUCUUUAUCGUUUCUUUCUUUCUUCUUCUUGACUUAGCAUAUGAGCCAAGUAUAGAUGGGUCUACAAAGUGAACCUCAAGUUAAAAGGAUUCUUGAGCAGUAUAAAACUAGUAGUGAUCUUAGGUAUGCACAGGAUUGCAGGUUUGAUUUGAAAAGAAGCUCAUGAAGCCCUUUGCUUUUCACUGGAAUAGAAGUUGAAAUAUAUUUGCUAGUCUCUAACUAAUAUCAGUCACCUUUUCUGCAUAUAUCAGUCACCUUUUCUGCAUUCUCCAAUUGUAGUAACUAAUGUCCUUUUCUUGAACUGCGUGGUUAGCAUGCAGCCAGCCCGCAUAUUGUGGAAAUGUGGGCUUGACAAUAAAUAUAUUUUUUGAAUAUAUUUUUAUCCUAAUUGCAUUUCUUGGUGGGAGAAGAUUUUGUAUUUGUAAAUGUUCAGAAAAUUUGAUGUAUUUUGUUGAUUGCGGUGAUCAAAUAUAUAACAUAUAUCCAACGAAGGAUUGGAUAGAUAGAGUGGUGUAGAUAGAUAGAUAGAUAGACAAAUUUGUAUGUCAAAGACUGACUGAAAUUCCAUUGUAUAUGUUUGGACAUCAAUAUGGGACCAAGCACAAACAGUUUAUGCAAAUGGCAAUGUUACUUCUGUAAAUUGGAUAGUUUUACAUGACAAUUGUAUUUUGAUUGCUAUUCUUUUAUAGCUGAAACUGAUUAAAAAUGCCUAAUUCCUGGUACACAUAAAACAAUAUAUAUGCUAAGGAAAAGAGUUGCAACAGAUUUUAGCUCUGAUUAGUGGUAAGGUUCCUACUUAAACAUUUAUGAGUCUCUUCCUAUACACAUUUAUAUUAGGUAUCUUGGUUUACUUGUAUCUGUUGUAUUGCCAACACUUAUCCUUAAGGUUUCCUCUUUCUUGUUCUAUUUAUUGUGCUAUACAAUGCUAAAACCAUUUCGACAGUAACAUUUACAUUGAGUUAGAGGUUGGCAUCAUAUAUGGCAUCAAACAACAUUUUUCUUCAGUCUUCAAUGAGAAUUCUAUGUGACUUGUAGUGAUAUAUAUCAUUCUUGAAUUAUUCCAAAUUAUCCAUAUGAUUUUGCAUCAUAUUUGAUACCUAAUUAUGAUUAGUUACAAAACAUUUCAUGCUCAUGUGGGGCCUUUAAACCCAAAUACAUGACCUUACAACUUCUACAUAAUCUUACUGUCAACGAAACUUACAUGUUCCUGCAUUGUGUUGAAAUUACACAUGCAUGUGUAUCUAUUCAUACAAAUAAAUUGUGUUAGGCAUAAAUGUAUAUGCAAGCAGAUGUGCAUUUGUUUAAAGGAAACAUUAUUUAUGAGGUGAAUCGGGGUACAACAUAAUGCAUUGAAUUCCUUUUAUCAUUUGUUGUGGUUUUAUUGAUAGAUGAUCUACAAUAUAUCAUUGUUGAUACCCAUAAAUAGAAUCUAGGUUCUAAGGCCUGGUCUUUCACUAUCCCACAGAGUGCAAGAAUUUGCUUGAGUGCUGCAAUGGGAAAGAGCUCCAACACGAGACAAUGCUUUGACCAUUUGAGUAUGGAGAGUGAGCAGCCAAAAAGGCACUAUUGUAAGACCAAAAUGGGCUUCAUAAAUAUAAGAACAGCACUGUACAUGUACUUCCAAAACCAAAUGACUUGCACUAACCGAGAUUAUUCAUUAUAAACGGGCUGAUAAUUCAUAUGUAAAAGCCAAAACAAUUCACAAACUAAAAACUAGAAAGAAUAAAACAGAGGCAAAGUGGGUCCAAUUCCGUUAACUUAAUUAUAUUUAACAAUUUGUCAGCUUAAAUAACUUUCAAAAGCUCCAUAAACUUAAUUACAUUUUACAAUUUGUCAUCUUAAAUAACUAUAAGAAACAAUGGAGAUUUUUCCCAAAACAAUUGAUGAAUUCAUCACUCUAUACAAUAAUUUUCCCCGUAGUAAACCACUAAACUGUGCCAAAAAAAUGCUGCAUGCAAAACCACUGAAAUGUUAUCCAUAGAAUGCUCUCUAGUCUUCCAAACCACUGAAUUGUGGACCCCAAAAUCCUCUUUUUGUGGCUUCCCAAACUCCUAAAUUAUGCCUCGGAGAUCAUGAAAAGUCUAGAUCUCACAUAACCAGCAUAAUCAGGCACCACCUCCAACAUACUUAUAGCAAAUUUCAAAUCCUCAUCUUCAAUAGGCAUCACCCGAUUAAGAUCCAUAACCCCCAUUCUCUCUUCAUUCCUUCUCUUUCCUCCCCCAUUCUUUCUCUCUCCUCCCAAUUCAACUUGAGAACCCAUUGUCAACCUCUUUGAAGAAUGAUGAGCUUUCAACUUGGCUAGAUGUUUCUCUCUGUCAAAAUGUUUCCUCAUAUGGCCACCUAAAGCCUGACCUGAACUGAACCAUUGGUUACACUUAGUGCAUAUAUGGCUCCCUUGCCUUUCCGUGUGAAAUUGGCUGGAAUUCUGCUGAUUUAUAGUCUUUUAUUGACAAAUACUUUCAAGAAGCCCAACUAAAUCUCAGACCAAAUUCCAGAAACUUGAACAUCCUCUUGUGAUACUUCCUCGUCCUUUGAGUUAUUAGCUGCAGAGACUCCAAUGAGAAACUUCCUCUUCUUUGAAUCAUGGCAGUUUGAAAUGAUUUCACUUUCUUGGGGUUUGUCAGAAUUAGCAACUGUCUCAAUAGCUCUCGCCUCCCUCUUCACCUCGGUUUUCUUCUUCCAUUGGCCCCGACGGUAAACUAAGAAGCUUUCAUGGAGGAUUUCACUGGGAUCCAAUUCCAGGCCUUCCUUGUCAGUUUCUUGUUUUUCCAAGAAACCAAUUCCUCCAAAUUUCUUUGACAUUAAGAAAGAAUGGACACCAAUUUUAUGGUCGCAUGGAAUGGCUGAUAAAACGAUACUCUUUGAAGCUGGCAGGCUGGUCCUCCGUUCCUAGAACAAGCUGGUAUUGGUUGCGAAUUCAAGGCAUAUCCAGACCUUGGACCUUCCAUUACUGCUGAAGAGCUGAGUUCAUUAGGGUUGUGGAUCAAGGCUCCCUUGCAAAGUUCUUCAUAAGACCUAUUGGCAUCCAUUUUGGGUCUAUAAGGUUGUCGGGUAAUGCAUUUUGGGUUGCAAGCCCAGCUCCUUUAAAAGUUUGUAGUUCUCUGCUUACGUUGUCAUAGAGACCUAUUUCAGCCACUGCCUCACUCAAGAAAGUAUGGCCUAUAAUUUAAAGUGUUGCAACCUCAAUGACAUCUCUCUUUCCCUCUCAAAGAAAGUUGUCUUCAGAAGAAUGAAAGUGCAUCUUCUGUUUUCUUUGAUUUCAUAAUGUGCCUCACAUCUGUAGAGCUUAUCCACAUUAGUAGUCUCUAGCAAGUUGAACUGAGUGUACCAUUCUCAGCUUCCAAACAAUCAGAUAUUAAAGUAUUAGCUAUGCUACAUAAUUCUUGAGUUUCACUAUUUCCCCGUCAACUCCCAUAUUCUACCUACUCUAAAUUCUUUUUUGAGGAUUCUCUCUUCCCUAAAAUCUCUCAAUAAGAAGACCGAAUCCAAUUAGCUACACAGUCCUUUGAACUCUCUCUCUUUGAAGGUCACAUGCUCUAAUCUUCUGUAGAAAGAAGGUCCCAUUUUAUUUUUAUGACAUAUGUCCAUCCCUUAACUGUAGCUUAAUAACAUGAGGUAGGAAGGAGUAUGUGAGCUCUUUAUCGAAUUUAGAAAGUUAAUGCAUGUGAUUUUCUCACUAAAUUUUUUUAGAAUUUAUCCUAAAUUCUAAAUUUAUCCUAUAUGAGUAUGUUACUCUAAAUUCCUUUUUCAGGGUUCUAUCUUCCUAAAAUCUCUUCAUUUAGCUAUAUUAUGCCCUAAAAUCCCUCAUAUAUUGUAGGCCCUUCUAGAUAUAAAGUUUCCCUUUAUUCUUGCUACAUGUGUCACCAUUUAACUAUGGCUUAAUAAUGAUAUAGAUAUAGUAUAGAGAGAUAUCACUACAAGCCAGCCAAAGAAGGCUAGGCCUGGUCAAAGGAUCCUGCCCCGUUCAGCAUCUUAAAGCUCAAUCAUGCCAGGACUUUGAGGGGGACCCAGGCCCUGGAAGAGUAGGGAGCUUUGUUAGAGAUAACAAUGGGUCGAUUCUUAUUACGCACACUAUGGUCUGCUAGCGUCUCUAACAAUGGGUGCAUCCUUAUUACUCACUGUGGGGGUGGCUUAGUGAUCCAAGGCCUCAGGCUCUAAGAGGACUGCUAGGUUCGUUUGAUAAUGGAGGCAGACUCAAUUAACUUGUUCACUCCUGUUGGGACAUGAACGAGGCAUGCUCUUGCUAGGGAUGGGGUUUAGAAACUUACACUUACUGUUACCAAGCUUUGAGUUUUGAUAUUGUUCCUUAUCAUGGUUCUGCAAAAUCUAUUACUUAUCAUAGCUAUGUAGAAUCUACUGUGCAGACUCAUUUUUGUACACAAAUAGAAAUACACUUGUAAUCAAUUCUGAUUACAUUAAUUAGUUGAUUAAAAACAAAAGAGAACGUUUCCACAUGUCAGCUCAUGCACUACAAUAAUGUUGUCUCUGUCGUCUCAUUAAAAUUGACUACGGAGAUGUUAGGUCAACUGGCAAGAUAAUAGAUGGGGAUUACCAGUACAAGGAAGCGCAGAGCACCAGAGCCAUUUCAGCGGGGCCAAUUCAACAUGAUUAGCAAAAAUUUCCAAGCUGAAUUUUAAGUCCUUGCAGUAGAGCCAUUCAGUAAUGAUUAGUAGAUACAUUUCCAGAAGGUCCUACAUAGCAAAACACCACAUUGCCUCCGCUAUCGAGGCAAACACCACCCACCUUUGCCAAACCUCGAUUUCCUAAAGAUGAUCCAUCCGAACUCAAUUUGAAGCACCCUAUCAAUGGCGGCUGCCAAGUACACCUAGGUCUAACCUUAAUAAAAUUGAAAGUGAUAAGCUUAUCCAAAUUCAACUCAACGUCCACCUCAGAAACACUUGAACCUUUCCUAGUAAUACUAAACCAGCUCCAGACCCUAAAAUAAAUUCUAUUAUGUAUCCCUUGAAUCUUUGAUGAUACUCCAAAUGUUCUAUUCAUUUCCAACCACAACUCCCAUAUAAUAGCUGCUCGAAAAAUGUCCCAGAUCAUGCCGCUUACUUUUGCAACUCCGACAAGCUUGAGAUGGUCGAGGAUGUCUUUAUGAGAAUUAGGACAGAAACACCUAGUUUUGGCAUUGCCCAACACUAAAUAUGAUAAGAGAAAAGACAAAGUAGAAAUCAACGGUCUCUGUUUCGUCAUCAUUUUGGCAAAAUAGGUAUACAUUUAACUAAGAUUUUCCCUCUCUUCUUAAUUGUGAAUGGUUGGAGCUUUUCCUUGCGUCAUUACCCAUAUAAAGGUCUGCAUCUUAUGUGGUACUCUCCACUUCCAAAUUGCCUACCUUCAAAUUAGCCUGGCUCCAUCUAAACCGAUCACGAAAAAGAACGGAGUCAGUUGACUUGACUGAGAAGAUACCAUCAUAUUUGAGUUCCCAUACUGAUUCAUCCUCCAUAGUACUAGAUUUAUGAAUUCCCUCCAUAACCUUCAACAAUUCCAAGAUUUGUUCAGCAACAAUAUUAGGAAUUCUAUUGUAAAGGCAAUUGACAUUACAAAAAAUUGGAGUUCCCAUUUCAUUCACACACCUCCCUCACCUUUGCCAUGGCUGAGCUAUUCUUUGAAACGAAUCUGGAUAUUAAUAUUUAAAAGUAAUAUCAAGGGCCCAAAGGAUUGUCACCUUUCCAAACUGACCACCUUGCAUGCCUUUUAUAAAUGAGUGCAAAGAUAAAAUGGAUUUCCAAACAUGAGAUUGAUGUAAACUAUUACGGCCCCUAGCAAUCAAAUUAUUUAAAGGGUCCACACCAUACUUGCAACUAACACAUUUUUUCAUAGUUGUUGCUCAUUAUACAUAGCCCGCCACCAACACUUGGCAAUUAAUGCCUGGUUAACUAACUUUUAUUUUUAGAUACCCAGUCCAUUUCCUUUUUAGGAGUACAAAUGCUCUGCCAAUUCACUAAAUGAUACUUCCCUUUUCAUCGGAACUCCAUAAAAAAUUUCUCAUCAAUUGCUCAAUCUUUUUUAUGAUAAUCUCGAAUCUGAAAUCGACAUCCCCAAGUAUUUGAUUGGGAAAAACUCCACUCAACAAUUCAUAGCAGUAGCCAAACUUCUAACGAAAAACUCAUCACAUCCUACACCAACAAUUAAAGUUUUUUUAAAAUUGACUUUGAGCCCUAACGUCAAUUCACAGCAUCGAAGGAACUUUAGUAUUUGGUCGCAUUUUGCCCCACAAAAUAUAAUGAUGUCAUCAGCAUAAAUAGAAAUGGAUUUCAAAUUUCUUUUCCCUCACGUUGCAUUAGGGUUCUUUUUCAUCUCUCUUCCCCCACCCCAAGACUAGAGAAUAUGGUUUGUGCAGCGUGGAUAAAGACUCAUUGUGGGGAAGAGACACAGGCUCUGCCGCUUGGUUGACUCUGCGAAUGGAGUUUUGAUUCAUCGACUUAGAGAGAGAUGAUGGGAAAUGGUAGCACUGGCGAUAGAAAGGGUUCUGUCGGGCUUAUUCUAAAGAUCAGAUGGUGAAGACGGCAUGAUUUUGUUUUCGUUAUUAAUCUCCAAGUGAGUUGCAGAGCAAAACCACUUGGAGUUGUUCAGAGUUGGAUUCUACCUUGGAUGUAAAUUUGAAAAGUCAGUUCUUAUGAGCUGAAAACCUGUAUUACGAGCAAGUUUCUCACCAUUUUUGUUCA